rnacentral:rRNA from 1 species
GAUCCUGGCUCAGGAUGAACGCUAGCGGCAGGCUUAAUACAUGCAAGUCGUGGGGCAGCAGGUUUGUAGCAAUACAGAUGCUGGCGACCGGCAAACGGGUGCGGAACACGUACAGAACCUUCCUUUGAGCGGGGAAUAGCCCAGAGAAAUUUGGAUUAAUACCCCAUAGUAUAAUGAAGUGGCAUCACUUUAUUAUUAAAGAUUUAUCACUCGAAGAUGGCUGUGCGGCUGAUUAGGUAGUUGGCGGGGUAAAGGCCCACCAAGCCUGCGAUCAGUGACUGGUGUGAGAGCACGACCAGUCACACGGGCACUGAGACACGGGCCCGACUCCUACGGGAGGCAGCAGUAAGGAAUAUUGGUCAAUGGAGGCAACUCUGAACCAGCCAUGCCGCGUGGAGGAUGAAGGUCCUCUGGAUUGUAAACUUCUUUUAUAUGGGACGAAAAAGGCUUUUCUAAGUCGUCUGACGGUACCAUAUGAAUAAGCACCGGCUAACUCCGUG